rnacentral:rRNA from 1 species
GAGCGGUAGAGAGAAGCUUGCUUCUCUUGAGAGCGGCGGACGGGUGAGUAAUGCCUAGGAAUCUGCCUGGUAGUGGGGGAUAACGUUCGGAAACGGACGCUAAUACCGCAUACGUCCUACGGGAGAAAGCAGGGGACCUUCGGGCCUUGCGCUAUCAGAUGAGCCUAGGUCGGAUUAGCUAGUUGGUGGGGUAAUGGCUCACCAAGGCGACGAUCCGUAACCGGUCUGAGAGGAUGAUCAGUCACACUGGAACUGAGACACGGUCCAGACUCCUACGGGAGGCAGCAGUGGGGAAUAUUGGACAAUGGGCGAAAGCCUGAUCCAGCCAUGCCGCGUGUGUGAAGAAGGUCUUCGGAUUGUAAAGCACUUUAAGUUGGGAGGAAGGGUUGUAGAUUAAUACUCUGCAAUUUUGACGUUACCGACAGAAUAAGCACCGGCUAACUCUGUG